AGCAGCCAUUCCAGGUAGCAGGGGAAUGGCCCUUCCUCACUUUCUGACGAUUUUUUUUUACGCUCUUCUGUCUUUGGGGAAAGCGGCAGGCUAAGGAAAACCGGGAAGCCACGCAGACCUCUGCCUGUGACACAGCACGUGGGCUGGCCUCUGGCAACUGACAGAGGGAACAUUGCUGCUGAUGCGAAGAAAAGUCAUCAGAGAUUCUAAAAAAUAACGACUAUGGCGGAUAAGCAAGGAGGGACAGGAGGUGACCAAGGCCACAGUGGGGAGAGACCUAGCAGAGAGAGCACCCACCUCAAUCAGGCCACAGCCGGGACGGAGGUUCUGAGCCACGUCUCCUGAGUUCAUUUACUCGGUGGAAGUCAAUCUUAAUUGUCAAUUCGAUGAGAUUUUUAAUCGCCAUGGAAACAGACCUCUGAGCAUGUCACGGAGACAGUUUCUAUAUCAGGUUAAUCGAGGUACAUCUGAGGUACAACAGUCUACCUCAUAGUGGCCUCUGACAGUCCAAAGCACGAGCGGUCAUUGCCAGGGCAGCUCCAUUGUCUGCCAGAGCCCUCUCUGCUCUGCUUAUAGCUGUCUCAUGCCAGCCGAGUCGCUUCAGCAUGCAGGUGCCUGCCUCUGCUCACCCCCUGUCAGUUCCCAGGUAUGGCAUGAAGGGUAAUGCCCCGGUGUCUCUAAUGACAGUCAUCACCUACCUCACAGUUCUAGGAGCCUCGUGUCUGAGUCUGAGGUAUAAGCAAGAUCCUACACUUCCACGGCCCUAGGAGAGGAUCCUUCAUGCCUCUCCCAGCUACUGGUGAAGGUCACAGUUUGAUCAUCUGACUUAAGGACCCAGUGCCCUGCCAUCUACCCGUUUCUUCACAUGUAGGCAGCUAUGCCCAAACAGUCUCCUUAUAUCAGAGACACCAGGAUGCCCCCCGUAAAAAAUUUUCUUCUUUAAGUUGCCUUGGUCAUUGUGUCUAAGUAGCUAAGACACCUUGCUCGGUUUUAAACUCACUCAUUCAAAACCAAAACCAUAGCUUUCAUAAACCAUUCUCUGGACUGUACAGAACAACUCCUUAAGGCAAACACAUAUCUGUGGAUUCUAUAUAUGGCCAAGCAGGUGAGUGUCUCCUUGGAUGGCUGAGAAAUCAGGUAAUGAU
rnacentral:lncRNA from 1 species